UACAGAGGGUGCGAGCGUUGUUCGGAAUUACUGGGCGUAAAGCGCGCGCAGGCGGCCUUUUAAGUCUGACGGUGAAAUGCCGGGGCUCAACCCCGUGCCCGCCGGAGAUACUGGGAGGCUGGAGACGAGUAGAGGCAAGCGGAAUUCCGGGUGUAGCGGUGGAAUGCGUAGAGAUCCGGAAGAACACCGGAGGCGAAGGCGGCUUGCUGGGCUCGGUCUGACGCUGAGGCGCGAAAGCGUGGGGAGCGAAAGGG
rnacentral:rRNA from 1 species